CAGAGUCUCCCACUGUCACCUGGGCUGGAGUGCAAUGGCACCAUCUCUGCUCACUGCAACCUCUGCCUCCUGGGUUCAAGCGAUUCUCCUGCCUCAGCCUCCUGAAUAGCUGGGAUUACAGGGCACCUAAGCAUGCGGCAAGAAGACAAUCAUCUGAAAGACAGGAAAAGGGCCCUUACCAAGUAUUGAAAUGGCCGGCACCUAGAUCUUGGACUUCUCAACGUUCCAGAACUGAAUCUUUUGAGACUGGGGCUACAAUCAUCACCAGGAUGAAGAUGAAGAAACAAAAGCUCAGAGGUAAAAUAACUUACCCAAAGUCUUAUGCCUCGUAAAUUGCUUGACUAAAAUUCAUACCUUGCUAUGUUUUAUUACAGAAUCCAUUAAAGUAAAAUGGAUGUUAAGCCUAAGUGCUCUUUAAAGUUUUCUAAUUCCUCAAAUAGUAUAACAGUGUAUUUCCUCCUUUAAAAUAAUUCUAUUGCUUAUUUUAUUUCAUGUCUCCUUGUUUUGCACCAAACUUCUAAAACAAAUUUAAUUAAAAAUUUAGAUUAUAUAAAAUGAAUGAACUCUUCAAUAUAUAAAAAUCUAAAAGUCUAGAAGAAAAUGUGACACAUAUAACCAAAGAUUCAUAUUUCCUUUAUAUAUAUUAUUUCCUAACAUUAACUAUUAAAAAUAAACUAUAUAAAAAUGAGUCAAUAAUAUGGACACAGAACUUACAAAAGAUAGAAUAAGUUCAAAUAGACACAGGCUUCUGAAUAAAUAAAUAGAUACUAAUUCAUGAAAUACCAUUUUUCAUAUAUAAGACUAUUGUAAAAUAAUAAUAGUAAUGAUAAUAAUAAUACAGCAUGUAUUGAGUCCAUGGAGAAAGAAGAAAUCUCAAAUGCUUUUGGUGAUAAAAUAAUUUCUCAUAACAAUUUUGAUAACAUUUACAUAUUAAAAUAAAUGUGGCUACUUACCUAGUAUUCUCACUUAUAGGAAACUGUUCUGCAGAAAUAGCAUAGGCACCAAAAGAUGUAAAAAUGUGGAUAUCAAUGAUAUAAAUACAGUUGUAGUUUCAUGCAUAGAUACAGGUAAGAAUAUAGAUAUAGAUAUAAUUUGAGAUAAAAAUUUUGUCUAAGUAAUUUGAGAUAAAACUUUUGGCCAAUCUCAAAUGUGAUUAUUAUAAAAUGAUUAAAUAGAUUAUGUUUCACCCAUCAAUGGAGAAUCAGAAAACUAUUAUAAGAAAUAGAUGAGAAACUAUUCAUACUCUCUAGAAAUAAGGCUUAACCCAUACUCCUACAAGGAAAAUGCCCACAUUAAAUAUUUAAAGUGUCUUUGACCACCUUAGAAAGAAGUAUUUUUCUUUUUUUUUGUCAGCAGGAUAACACAGGGGCAAGGAAUUGAAUGGACAGAGGUUAAAACUUUUAAUUCUUGAUAAAAUUAAAAAGAAAAUAAAAUAUGUGUGACUAAGAAAAGAAAAUAUGUGUGACUAAGGUGAUUUUCAAAACUACACUUAAGAAAGCAUUUUUUAAUAUUCUGAGUAAGAAUGAAAAGAGAAGGGGAAAUCCAUUAGGAAAAAUAACAUAUACUAUUCCUGUCAUUUUUAAAGCAAAGUCUAGAAGUUUUCUAACUCUUGAAACCAUAUCAAAUUGAAGAUACUAUGAUGUCCAUUAAUGCUAUGCAUAUGAUAUAUUAUCAAAGGUACUUGGAAAAGUAAAAUGUUUAGUAUAAACAGAGAUUUAUAAAACUCCCUUAACUUACACUUAGUUAUAUUUUGGUUUAUCAGCAUAAAAGUAGAAACUAGAUUUUAAAAAUAUAAAGUUACAGUUUUGUUGUAUUCAUUGUUUCCCAAGUUGAAAACUUUUUCACUUUCUUAUUACUGAGAUUAUAAUUUUCCAUAAAUUUCAAAAUUCAAUCACUCAUUAUAUUUGCAUCACUCAAUUCUUAUAAUGUCUUUAUGGAAUAUAAAAGUUAUUUUAACUAUUCUUCACUUACUCUUCUCUGGAUGCUGGUCCAAGACUAGGAUUACAUGAGUGAAUAAAACAUGGUUGAAAUAAUUCCUGGUCUAAUGGGGAAAAACAUAAUUCAGUAUAAAACAAUGUAGGUUUUUUUUAAAAAAAUAAUGAAUUUAUAUAAAAAAUACAUAAAACACAGUACAAUUACCAUAUAGAGAAUAGGGCAUGAAGUGGAGCCAGUUUAAAUCCUGGCUUUAUUAGUAACCUAUUGUGUGAUUCUGGAAAACUCAUUUACCUUUUUAUGCCCCAAGACCUUUGUCUGUAAAAUGGUGAUUAGGAUUAAGUAGCUUUGCACAUAAUAAUAACUGUGUGUGACUUCUAACAACAACAACAAAAACAGCCAAAAG